rnacentral:rRNA from 1 species
UACCAAGGCGAUAAUGGGUAGCUGGUCUGAGAGGAUGAUCAGCCACAUUGGGACUGAGAUACGGCCCAGACUCCUACGGGAGGCAGCAGUGGGGAAUAUUGGACAAUGGACGAAAGCCCGAUCCAGCGACACCGCGUGGGGAUGAAGGCUUUCGGGUUGUAAACCCCUUUUCUGGAGGAAGAAUAAGGUUGGGAGGAAAUGCCCAUCCGAUGACGGUACUCCAGGAAUAAGCAUCGGCAAACUUCGUGCCAGCAGCCGCGGUAAGACGAAGGAUGCGAGCGUUAUCCGGAAUUACUGGGCGUAAAGGACGUCUAGGCGGUUGGAUAAGUCAUUUGUGAAAUCCCAGGGCUUAACCCUGGAAGGUCUUGUGAUACUGUCCGGCUUGGGUGUAGGAGAGGAGAGCGGAACUCACAGAGUAGCGGUGGAAUGCGUAGAUACUGUGAGGUACCCCGAUGGCGAAGGCAGCUCUCUGGCCUACUACCGACGCUGAAGCGUGAAAGCGUGGGGAGCAAAGGGGAUUAGAUACCCCCGUAGUCCACGCCCCAAACGAUGUUCACUUGGUGUCGGGAGCCUAUAUAUCUCGGUGCCGGAGCUAACGCGUUAAGUGAACCGCCUGAGGAGUACGGCCGCAAGGCUAAAACUCAAGAGAAUUGACGGGUCCCCGCACAAGCGGUGGAGCACGUGGUUUAAUUCGACGAUAAGCGAAGAACCUCACCUGGGCUUGACAUACUAGUGGUAGGAUCCGGAAACGGUGACGACCCUACCUUCGGGUAGGGAGCUAGUACAGGUGAUGCAUGGCUGUCGUCAGCUCGUGUCGUGGGAUGUAGGGUUAAGUCCCGAAACGAGCGCAACCCUUGUCACUAGUUGCCAGCGGAUAAUGCCGGGGACUCUAGUGAGACUGCUGGUGAAUAGCCGGAGGAAGGCGGGGAUGACGUCAAGUCAUCAUGUCCCUUAUGCCCAGGGCGACACACAUGCUACAAUGGGAGGUACAAAGGGUUGCAAUACGGUAACGUGGAGCCAAUCUCAAAAAGCCUCCCCCAGUUCGGAUUGUGGUCUGCAACUCGACCACAUGAAGCCGGAAUCGCUAGUAAUCGUAGGUCAGCCAUACUACGGUGUAUAUGUACUCGGGGAUUGUACACACCGCCCGUCACACCAACCGAGUGGGGGGUACCUGAAGUCGCUCUUUUGAGGGCGCCUAAGGUAACCUUCGCAAGAGGGGUGAAGUCGUAACAAGGUA